rnacentral:rRNA from 1 species
UACGAAGGGGGCUAGCGUUGCUCGGAAUCACUGGGCGUAAAGCGCACGUAGGCGGUUCUUUAAGUCAGGGGUGAAAUCCUGGAGCUCAACUCCAGAACUGCCUUUGAUACUGGGGAUCUCGAGUCCGGGAGAGGUGAGUGGAACUGCGAGUGUAGAGGUGAAAUUCGUAGAUAUUCGCAAGAACACCAGUGGCGAAGGCGGCUCACUGGCCCGGUACUGACGCUGAGGCGCGAAAGCGUGGGGAGCAAACAGG